rnacentral:rRNA from 1 species
AACGAACGCUGGCGGCAUGCCUAACACAUGCAAGUCGAACGAGAUCUUCGGGUCUAGUGGCGCACGGGUGCGUAACGCGUGGGAAUCUGCCCUUUGGUUCGGAAUAACAGUGGGAAACGACUGCUAAUACCGGAUGAUGACGAGAGUCCAAAGAUUUAUCGCCAGAGGAUGAGCCUGCGUAGGAUUAGCUAGUUGGUGUGGUAAAGGCGCGCCAAGGCGACGAUCCUUGGCUGGUCUGAUGGGAUGAUCAGCGACACUGGGACUGAGACACGGGCCAGACUCCUACCGGAGGCAGCAGUGGGGAAUAUUGGACAAUGGGCUAAAGCCUGAUCCAGCAAUGCCGCUUGAGUGAUGAAGGCCUUAGGGUUGUAAAGCUCUUUUACCCGUGAUGAUAAUGACAGUACCGAGAGAAUAAGCUCCGGCUAACUCCGUGCCAGCAGCCGCUGUAA